rnacentral:tRNA from 1 species
ACUGAAGUGGCAGAAUUGGAGUGCUAUAAUUUUAAGAGUUAUAUAUGAAUUAAUAUUCCUUUGGUA